ACGAACGCUGGCGGCACGCUUAACACAUGCAAGUCGAACGAGAGAAGAGAAGCUUGCUUUUCUGAUCUAGUGGCGGACGGGUGAGUAACACGUGAGCAAUCUGCCUUUCAGAGGGGGAUACCGAUUGGAAACGAUCGUUAAUACCGCAUAACAUAAUUGAACCGCAUGAUUUGAUUAUCAAAGAUUUAUCGCUGAAAGAUGAGCUCGCGUCUGAUUAGCUAGUUGGUAAGGUAACGGCUUACCAAGGCGACGAUCAGUAGCCGGACUGAGAGGUUGAUCGGCCACAUUGGGACUGAGACACGGCCCAGACUCCUACGGGAGGCAGCAGUGGGGAAUAUUGCACAAUGGAGGAAACUCUGAUGCAGCGAUGCCGCGUGAGGGAAGAAGGUUUUAGGAUUGUAAACCUCUGUCUUCAGGGACGAAAAAAGACGGUACCUGAGGAGGAAGCUCCGGCUAACUACGUGCCAGCAGCCGCGGUAAUACGUAGGGAGCGAGCGUUGUCCGGAAUUACUGGGUGUAAAGGGAGCGUAGGCGGGAUCGCAAGUCAGAUGUGAAAACUAUGGGCUUAACCCAUAAACUGCAUUUGAAACUGUGGUUCUUGAGUGAAGUAGAGGUAAGCGGAAUUCCUAGUGUAGCGGUGAAAUGCGUAGAUAUUAGGAGGAACAUCAGUGGCGAAGGCGGCUUACUGGGCUUUAACUGACGCUGAGGCUCGAAAGCGUGGGGAGCAAACAGGAUUAGAUACCCUGGUAGUCCACGCCGUAAACGAUGAUUACUAGGUGUGGGGGGACUGACCCCUUCCGUGCCGCAGCAAACGCAAUAAGUAAUCCACCUGGGGAGUACGACCGCAAGGUUGAAACUCAAAGGAAUUGACGGGGGCCCGCACAAGCAGUGGAGUAUGUGGAUUAAUUCGAAGCAACGCGAAGAACCUUACCAGGUCUUGACAUCGUAUGCAUAGCUCAGAGAUGAGUGAAAUCUCUUCGGAGACAUAUAGACAGGUGGUGCAUGGUUGUCGUCAGCUCGUGUCGUGAGAUGUUGGGUUAAGUCCCGCAACGAGCGCAACCCUUACUGUUAGUUGCUACGCAAGAGCACUCUAGCAGGACUGCCGUUGACAAAACGGAGGAAGGUGGGGAUGACGUCAAGUCAUCAUGCCCCUUAUGACCUGGGCCUCACACGUACUACAAUGGCUGUCAACAGAGGGAAGCAAAGCCGCGAGGUGGAGCAAACCCCUAAAAGCAGUCUUAGUUCGGAUUGUAGGCUGCAACCCGCCUACAUGAAGUCGGAAUUGCUAGUAAUCGCAGAUCAGCAUGCUGCGGUGAAUACGUUCCCGGGCCUUGUACACACCGCCCGUCACGCCAUGGGAGUCGGUAACACCCGAAGCCUGUAGUCUAACCGCAAGGAGGACGCAGUCGAAGGUGGGAUUGAUGACUGGGGUG
rnacentral:rRNA from 1 species